rnacentral:lncRNA from 10 species
AACUCCUGGGCUCCAUUGAUCCUCCUGCCUCGGCCUCCCAAAGUGCUGGGAUUACAGGCACGACCCACGGUACCCAGGCUACUUUCUUGAUCCACAGCUGAGGUGCUGUUCAGUCGAGACUCAAGCUCUGCAUAGACGGCUGACAUCUGGAGGGAGACGGGGGAGAGUCCAGCCCAUUCUGCUUCCCCUCGUAGCCCUAAUGUGGU